GACGAACGCUGGCGGCGUGCUUAACACAUGCAAGUCGAACGGAAAGGCCCUGCUUGCAGGGUACUCGAGUGGCGAACGGGUGAGUAACACGUGGGUGAUCUGCCCUGCACUUCGGGAUAAGCCUGGGAAACUGGGUCUAAUACCGGAUAGGAGCCAUUUUUAGUGUGAUGGUUGGAAAGUUUUUUCGGUGUAGGAUGAGCUCGCGGCCUAUCAGCUUGUUGGUGGGGUAAUGGCCUACCAAGGCGGCGACGGGUAGCCGGCCUGAGAGGGUGGACGGCCACAUUGGGACUGAGAUACGGCCCAGACUCCUACGGGAGGCAGAAGUGGGGAAUAUUGCACAAUGGGCGCAAGCCUGAUGCAGCGCCGCCGCGUGGGGGAUGACGGCCUUGGGGUUGUAAACUCCUUUCGCUAGGGACGAAGCUUUUUGUGACGGUACCUAGAUAAGAAGCACCGGCUAACUACGUG
rnacentral:rRNA from 1 species